AGGGAAGUAACUUUCCCCUUUGGGUCAGAGAAAUGAGAAAGAAGAGGAAGGAGGAGAGAUUUGAAGGACUUCACAUGGCUGGCUUUGAAGAUGGAAGGAAUGGACUGGGAGCCAGGGAAUGUGGCAGCCUCUAGAAGCUGGGAAUGGGCCUCAGGGUACAGGAAGCAAGACGACGAGGCUUUGCUGGGAAGAUGGCGUGGCUGGGUGCAGAGAGGCUGGGGCUGCGGACAGGCAUGGGCUGCACUGGCAGGAAGCCGCAGCUGCAAGGAGCUCACCGAGGGCCUGGCCCCACUGCAGCUACACGGGCACAGGUUUAACUUAAAGAAAAAGAAGAGAAAAGAAAAGACGAUGAGACGUAAGUCUUCCUUCCAUCCCCAAGAAGUAAAUUCUACAAAUAACCCAAAAGAGUGAGAAGCAUUCUCCUCAAUAUCUUAGAAGGAAAUGCAGCCUGUAGACACCUGCACUGGAGUUUUACUGAGACAUAACUGACAUGCAGCACUGCAUAAGUUUAAGGUGUGAUGCAUAAUGCUUUGAAUUCCAUACAUCAUGAAUGAUUAUCACGGUCUUCAGACUUGAAUGGGGUUGUGGAAAAGAUGGCUAUUACCUGGCAGAAGUCAAGGAAGCUGAGACUCACUUCAGAAGCUGAAGCCUGAAAGUGCAGCUUCGGGAAAUGUGAUGGGAGUCUGGAAAAUGAGGUUCCUUGUCAUUUUAUUUUUUUGACAUGUUUAAAAAAAGUUAUUGAAGUAUAUAGUUGAUUUACAAUGUCGUGUUAAUUUCUAUUGCACAGCAAAGUGAUUCAGUAUCUUUUUCACCAUAUUUUCCAUUAUGGUUUAUCACAGUAUAUCGAAUAUAAUUCUCUCGCUAUACAGAAGGAUCUUAUCUAUUCUAUAUAUAGUAGUUUGCAUCUUUUAGUCACAAACUCCCAAUCCAUCCCUCCCUCCACCCUGACCCUUGGCAACCACAAGUCUGUUCUCUAUCUCUGUGAGUCUAUUUCUGUUGUGUAGAUAAGUUCAUUUGUGUCAUAUUUUAGAUUCCACAUAUAAGUGCUAUGCUAUGGUAUUUGACUUGAACUUUCUGACUUCAUUAGUAUGAUAAUCUCUGGGUCUGUCCAUGCUAUUGUAAAUGGCAUUAUUUCAUUCUUUUUUAUGGCUGAGUAGUAUUUCAUUGUAUAUAUGUACCAACUCUUCUUUAUCCAUUCAUCUAUUGAUGGACAUUGCGUUUGUUUUAUGUCUUGUCUGUUAUGAACGGUGCUGCUAUGAAAAUAAGGGUGCACAUAUCUAAUCAAAUUAUAGUUUUGUCCAGAUAAAUGCCCACAAGUGGGAUUGCUGGAUUAUACAGCAACUAUGUUUUUUGUUUUUUGAGGAACCUCUAUACUGUUCUCUAUAGUGGCUGCACUUUGCCACUUUAAAUAAAGAAGCUCCAAAUGGCCUGGCAUGAUUUCAUUUCAUAGGUAGUGGAGAUCCUUGUGGAGGGGAAUAAGUUAGGAAAAACAACCAAAAUACUGGAGCAUGGCAGAGGAAGGACCAGCAGUUAUAGCGAGCAUCUCAUACUUUUCCUUUAAAGAGAUGAUGGAGUCUCCGCUGCUCCUCAGGCUACGCACUUAGAGUCGCACAUCUACUAAGAGACUACUGCGCUGCAGGGCUUCCUUUCCAGUGUAUCUCUGGAGGUACUGCUGAGGUCAAACCUACAUGUUUGACAGCUCUCUUUCCUCCUUGCCCUCGAAGAGAUUUCGUAUCCCAAAAUGCACUCAGUGGAAUAUUUAUAGGUGUUGGGCGAAAAGAAGUUCUACUAUCGACCAAGUGGGUUAACAAAGAUAAACAAGUUUCUUUAUAGCAGGUUUCCUCAGAUCUUUUAAUUAGUGUGCAUUGCGAAUCUGGCAGAAGUUAAGGAAGCUGAGACUCACUUCAGAAGCUGAAGCCUGAAAGUGCAGCUUUCAGAUAUAGUCUGAAGCAUUUUUCCAAAACCUUUUGACCACAUUCCCUGUAUUAGUCAGGAUUCUCUUGGUUUUUAAGUGACAGAAAUCCAGCUUCAAUAGGCAUAAGCCAUAAAGGGAACUUAUUGGCUCACAGAACCAAGAAGCUAAGGUAUGGCUGAAUGUGGAGUCCUCAAAGGAUGCUACCAGCGUCCCCCUUUCUGUCUCUUGGCUCAGCUUUCCUCUAGGUUGGCUUUGUUCUCAUGAAGUCUUUAUGUGGUAGUCCCUGGCAGCUCCAGGCUUACGUUAUAGUUAUAAAUUCCACUUUGGAAAACUAGGGAACAGAACUUAUUUAAGUGAAUUGUUUUGAAUUUAGAAGUAUUUAAAUCGUAAGCAAUUAAGUUACAAUAAUGAGAUAUAAAAUGCAAUUUCUGAAGAUCUUAUUUUUUUUUUUUUAUAAAAAUCUUGAUGGCAACCUAUGGUAUGGGUGCAUGCUGGUUUAAGAUAUAAUGAAACUGCCUAAUGGGAACUGUCGCUCACAAAAAUUAAUGUGUUUGGGAACUCACUUUGCUUCCCAAUUCCCUGAAUUCUUGUAUCCCAAAUUAGUGCUUAAUAAUUUACACAGUGCUUUCUUUUUGCAUCCAAAGUCAUUAGGAAUCACGUUGGUAUAAGAAAGCAGGUUCUCAACACAUUAGGGUGAUCAUACAAUUUGACAAACUACAUACUAUAGUAUUUAAAGUGGAACCUUUAAAAAAAAUCCUGGAGUUCCCCGUUGUGGCUCAGUGGGUAAUGAACCCAACUAGUAUCCAAGAGGAUGCAGGUUUGAACCCUGGCCUCCCUCUGGGGUUGUGGCUGUGGUAUAGUUGGGCAGCUGCAGCUCUGAUUCGACCCCUAACCUGGGUGAGGCCCUAAAAAAAAAACAAACAAAACCCUAAGCUAUUACUCUAUAUUACUCUGUAACUCCAAAUCCAUGAACCUAUUUUAAUUAUACUCUGUUAAAAAAAAAAAAAACUGCAGAAGAUAUACUCAUUUGAAAACUUUUAUUAGUUAUCAACUUUAUUGUAAAUUUGUGACUAGACUCUGGAUAUAUUUGACUGUGAAUCAUAGGAUUCUUCAUUAGUGUCCCAAAUUGGCUCUAAAUCAUCACGACACUGGCAGGAAUUGCUGAAUAGUCAAUAUGAAAGAGGCUUCUCUUUAAUUGGUCAACUAGUAAUCAUUUUAAUUUUGAAAUGCAUAAUGGUAAUGACUCUAUUUUUAUAUAUGGGAUAUUUUGAGGGAUUUUGAUUUUUAUAACCUAAGGAAAUUAUUCUAGCAAGUUAGAAAUUGAAUUCCCUGGAGGCGCUCAUUUCUCUUCCUAUGUAUUUAUUAUGUCUUUAUGGCUGGCUAGGAAGAGAACCAUAAUGAAGGCAAAAUCAUCUGGAAUUUUUAAAACUGGAAUCAUCAUCACUGGUCAGUCCGUUCUAUGAACCUAUCUGAUGGUCACUGAUGACAAUAUCUUGAAAAAUUUCAAGAUCUUCAGCAGUUUGUGAAUCAUCAAAAGAGAUCACAUUAUGCCUAAUAAUAAACAACGAAAUAUUAUCUAUAUUACUGCUUGAAAGCUAGUUAUCCAACAUGGCAUACAUAUGUGUACCUCUGAAUUGUUUGAUCAAACAGACCACUCUGCAAGAUAGUGGAGUUUCCAACAGAAUUACGUCUCAAAUCUUUUUGAAUAAAGGUUCAAACUAUUUUGAAAAAAAUGCUUGUGUUCUUCCACAUCAAAAGAUCUUUCUGUUACCAGCUAACAUUAGUUGUGAAGUGCCCUCUUCAUGUAGUCUCAUUUCAUCCUCACAAUGACUAUAGGAAAGAGGUAGCAUUUUUUAACCCCGAUUUUACAGAGGAGGAAACUGAGGAAUGAGGAUGGUGGUUAAAUGCCAAAUGUUACAACCUUGUCAAUGGCAGAGUCGGUAGGCAAUCCAACUCCAGAAUCAGUGAUAGGGACCACUGUUAAGAUAACAGUUGAUCGUUUUACCUACCAGCAGAUUACUUAACAACUAGACCUAAUGCACAACAAUGCGAACAUGGAGAUUUAUCUUCCGUGUAGGAGAGCCCCACAUUAAGGGCCCACACUCACAAGCAGUAAGGCCUGCCUCACGGUUCAGCACAUUUUGGUUAUUGCAUGGCUUUUGUUUUCUUGACUUCAGUUAAAAAGGCUUUAACAAAGCCCCAUAAAGAAGAGACCAAGUAAAUAAAAAUCUCAUAUUUGUACUGUUACACUAAUAAGCUUAAUAACAAUAAUCCACAAACAUCUGCAAUCAUAAAAUAAAAACUUCAUUACCAUUUCAAUGCAGUCACUACAAAUCCUCAGGUUAGCCAGUACACCAGCUGUGUCCUGGUGCUUCACAACACAAAGCAGCAAUUCAUUCCAAAUUACCACUCUCUGUUAGUGACUCUUGCUCUCUGGCUCCCAUCCCAAACACUCCUGCUGUUCAGGUCUAUUGUUUCUUCUCACUGGAAGCCUUUUAUUUCCUGGGAAAGCUUGAAGGAUUGUCACCAUGAAAAAAUAGGCUCAUCUUCUAACUUCUGCUUUCCCACUACAUACCCUUCCAACGUUCUGGGCCGACCUAGCCUUCUUUCCCUUCUAUCCAGUGGCAUCUAAAAUACAUUUCUAGAAGGAGUAUAGAAUACUUCGCCCAAAGAAUGAAAUUGAAGGCGUUAACAAGGCUUAUGCUCCUUUGUGGCUCUGUAAAAUGAACUAGUCUGAGAUUCAGAUAAUGAGCUUUAGUCUCUCUAUAGAAGCUGGGGAGUUGAGAAAACUCCCUCUAACUCCUGCCAUGGGCCUCGAAGUCAUCAAAUUCCAUAUACAAUUACAGAGGACUUCCCUCUGAGAGUUUAUGGCCUCAGAACAGCAGGUUAAAAACCAGAUUGGUGGAAAAUGAAGGAUAUUUUUUGAACCACAUGUAACACAUACACCAGCUUAUAGAAAUUUUAUACUACUUAUGAGAUCAUACUUAACAGGCAGUUUAUUUUUAUGCUGCAAAAUACUUAUCUAUUCUCUUUCAUCUGGAACUUAAACUUUUUUUUUGCAAUCCUGAACAUAAUUGGAGAGAGAGAGAAUGAGAGGAUAUUUGAUCUCAGCCUUACGGACGAUAUAUAAGAUUUCAAGAAAACAUUGUCUUUUGGAUUAACUCUUCCAGCGUAUCAACAUAACUAAGAGAAAUGUGUUUCUUCUAGGAUGCAGAAAUCCAAGUCUAUUAACUCUCAAACUCAGGGGUCAUUUAAAUGUGUUCUCUGUAAUUUCUAAUCAGGUGCUAGAAAACAUUUGGAAGAAUAUUUUUUUUUUUUGCAUUAUCUUCUGUUUUGUGGGCAUAACCCAGUGUCUUGCGCAGAUGAUCUCAUUCUGUUUUCCUAGGGACCUGGGGAUCUGUUUAUAAAGCCUCUUCAGAUCUUCAUCUGGGAGGCUUUCCUGGGGCAGGUAGACAUCCUACUGGAGCUGUGAGCUGGCUUUGGAAACUACCUCCCCCUGGAGUAUGGCAGCUGUGAAAAUGUGAUUAACCCUAAGAGCACAGACCACAGAUAUCCACUGACAUAUUUGAUGAUGUGCUUAUUUUGACUCCAUCAAUGAAAGAGGGCUGCCCUGCCUGCGAACACAGAGUGGAACUCUGCUGGUAAGAAGCAUGGCAGCCAUUCAUAACGGCACACCUGCUUUCCCAAGCAGCCUGUUACACCGAUGAAACACUGUUCAUACGUGGCAAAUUUACAAAGGCAGAGGUAAGAGUCUAUCUUCAGGGCUCCAUUGUACAUUAUAAGGAGAGCUAUUGGAGCGAAAUGGGUAAUAAACACAGAAAUGGCUCAUUUUCAUAGACCGAGCUCAUUAAUCUUCUCUCGGGCUGCUUUUAAAUCUUGACAAGAAAUCUGCCAUUAAGAAGAAGGGGCAGUGUGAUAUGAAGAAUAGGGUAAAUGGGAUGCCCUGAAAAGCUGAUCCGUUUUGAACACAAAGCUGAGGGUAAGCUAACCUCUUUCUCAUUACUUCUAUGUGAUCUUCUCUUUCGUAGCUAGCACACGGUACUCGACAUAGUUUUCAAGAUAGAAAAAUAAAGUGACACCUGUUUACAGAAUUCACCGGCAGAUCCGCACAUUGUGAGCUCUCUUGACAACUGGUUUCUAAAACCAGAUUUAGGAUAAAUGUAGGCAUUCUUUGGUGUGGCUAGAGUCAUCACAGAAUGUCUAUAUGAGCUACUGAACCUGAAUGCUUAUUUUUAGGAAGCCUCAAGGAACGAGUUGCAGUUGCUGUGAAGACAUCUGUGAGAUUCCUAGUAAUUCUUAGAUGACGGAUUUCCACUAUGAACAUGAACUCUCAGAAACAAGAGUCAACUUAAAGGACUGAAAACAUUUGCUCUGAAAGUGCUACCUUGAACCUUGUUUCAAUUCCAAGAUAUUGUCUUAUAAUACUCCAUUGCAACUUUACUAAAUUCACAUAUACAGUUUGUAUAGACCAGAUUCAAAAAUGCAUCAUUCUUCAAAGGGACUAGGAACGUUUACUGAAUCACAUCCUGGUAUCAGCAUAUGACAGGAGUGGUCAGAGUUUGGGAGACAGGACAAAUUUGAACAGGGAUUUAAUCACAAUAUGUGAUGGCUCCAACUGGUUACAGGGUAUGACACUCAGUACUUUGUGUAGACACAGAAUAAAAGCAUUGGGUAGCUGGAUAACUUUUUCUAAUAUAGUUAGGAUAAUGAAUUAAAAGCUGAUAGCCCUUGAAGGAGACAGACCUUCAAUCAAAUUCUUCAACAGGAUAAAUAAAUAUAUAUAUAUAUAUGUAUAUAUAUAUUACAUACACACAUAUAUAUAAAAUAUAUACAUAAUAUUUUAAGAAAAUGUCUGUAUAUUCAAAAUAUACUAAAUAUCUUUACACACAUGGCAAUCAUCGAGGAAUAACACAUAAACUAACCAAAUAAAUUCUAUGUUAUUUAGAAAAAAAAUCCUUGGUAUUGGUGAUAAAGACCCUGUGAACACUUUUAAUUCUAUCUUCCAGGUCAGUAGAUUUCUUUUUCUUUUCUUCUUUUUUUUAAUGGCCACACCCACAGCAUAUGGAAAUUCCUGGGCUAGAAUCCAAGCCAGAGCUGCAGCAACACCAGAUCCUUAACCCACCUUGCUGGGCUGGAGAUGGAACCUGAACCUCCACAGUAACCUGAGCCUCUGAAUUUGAAUUCUUAACCCACUGCACCACAGGGGGAACUCCAAUCAGUAGAUUUCUUUAAUGUAAUCUCAGUUUCCAAAAGCCAGAUGAGUUGUCCUGUCAUUAAAAUGCCUUUUGAUUUCUAAAGAUGAUUUAUUCUAAUUUGAAAAGGUUACUUAGCUUCUUAGAAACUCAAAGGUAUAUUAUCUUGGCAAUAAUUUAAGAAAGAAAAAUGUGUGGCUGUUAAACUCUGCUAAAGACAAUCUGGUGGAAGUCAGGGGUGAAGGCAAAACUGGAAAUGGGGACAGAGGAAGGGGAUAAUUAAACCCACUUUGAUUAAAUUUGGUAUAUUGAAAUAUUUAAACAAAAUGAGAAUGAUCACUCACACUCUGAGGGGAAAUUGCCAUUCCAUUCUGGAUGGAAUUCCUAUUUUUGAGAACUGCAAAUGUGCUAAAGUAGUAGAUUCAUCCAGAAUUAGCUUGUAAAAUGCUUGCAAUAAGCAACAUCUCCAAAUCAUGGUCAAAUGGUAUUUUGUGCAGAUAUUUCAUGACAAAAUAUCGUACACGGGUUAAAGCACAAUUACGAAAAUGCCUUCAUGACAAAAUAUCUUACAUGGGUUAAAGUACAAUUAUGAAAAUGCCUUCUGUUUCUUCAGGGUUUAUGACCAUGUUUUACAAAUGUAAUAUCAUAUACUGAGCUUAUAUAAGCCCCAAAAUAAUAUAUUUCUAGCUCUGGCAAGGAUAUCCAGCUUCUGUACUUGAGAACCAAGGGAAGCUGUCCUUAAAAAUGUGUGAGAUUUUUCACCCAGUGAAACAUUGCUAAUGCCACGGUUGGUCACCAGCCUCAUAACUUAUCUCAGCAAGUUCAAUGAGAGUUAUUUAUUGAAUGCUCCUAGUGUGCAAAACCCUGUAUGAUAAUGAUUGAAUUACGACAUACUGGUUUAACAAAAAGAAAAGAAAAAAAAAAAUCCUAGCAGAGUGGGUGAUACAGAGUAAGAAUUCAAUAGCAGUUACUUUCUUUCCCAGGGAGACUGGGACGAAGAGAAGUAGGAAGAAGUUGAGUGGCAUUCAAGAGAAGGCCCCUGAGUUUGAGGUGUUCUCAGGGUCAAGGAAGGAGUCACACUGAACUGUAUCCUCUCUUUCAGAUCCAUUGGCGAGUCAAGGUUUACAAUGUGGCCAGUUUGGCUUAGAGGUAUGAUGGAUUUGGAUAGUGUGAUGGAUAGUGAAGAGACAGUCAUUUUCCCUUCUUGUACUGAGUUUAUCCUGAUAUAUUUUGGUAAUAGAAUGUGACAGAAGUGAUGCUGAGUAAUGAUACUUCCUGGAACCCUGCAAGAAGCCCAAGCAACAGGGAGAGACUAUGUGGAGAAGAAACCAGGUACUCAGUCAACGGCCCCCAGCUGAGCUUCCAGCAACAUGUGAAGGAGGCAUCUUGGAGUCUCCCUUGUCCGGUCCCUGGAGGAGUGCAGCCCCAGCUGACAGCACAUGGAGCAGAACCGCCUAGCUGAGCCCAGUUAACUCACGAGAGGCAUACUGCAUUCUUACAUUCUGGAGAUAAAAGAAGAUAUCCUGGCUGCCAGCAAAGUGGGAGAUGAUGAUAAAUAGAACGAGUGGACCAUAUCUUACAACUAGAGCCAAAUUUCUCAUGCUCGCAGUUGGCAAAACCAGUUAACUCCCCUUCUGGAAUUAAACCUUAACGAGGCUUAUUUCUUUCUGGGCCUACCAUGGAUAUCAUUUACACUGGAACUAGGAACAUCCUAGUAAAUACACUGUACUCUGCCCAGAUGCCCUUGGAAUCUGUUUACAUUUCGGCCAUCCUCAUACCUUUGUGUGUCUACUGGAGGCUGCCCCUGGGAUAGUGGAGGAACUUUGUGUUACACAGUGGAAUGCAAGUGCUUGGGAGUUGAUGACCUACUAGAUCAAGCUGUAGCCAAUGAUGGGUGAAUGAAUAAUUUACUUCCGGAGCUCCUUCUGGGAUCUGACUGAGGCUGAGACUGCCUAAAAUCUUACCCCAUUUGACUUCCCCUUCCAGGGCCUGCUUGCUAUACUUCAUAUAAGAUUCUGCUGGAGCCCUUCCUAGCUGUGUAAUUUUCAUGUAAAUCCUUGUCUCAGGACCCUUGCUGAGAACCCAGCCUAGAACAAUCAGAUAUGUCAAACCAACCUUUCUGCUUUGUCAAUCAUGACCGUUAAGCACUUAAAUCUUUCCUAGGCUCUCUGCUAAUAUCUUCAUGUACUUUAUGUACUCACUUUCAAAUGUGAGAAAAAUGUUACUGACCUAGCACCACUUUCUUUUGUUUUUAGAAAAGCAGUGAUAAAAUUGCAAAUGUGCAUCAGCGUUCGCUCUCACACAUUAACCGAAUAUGGAGCCAGGAACAGCAGUAAAGUAAACAAAGAAUUGAACAAAACUGACUUGUGUGGGGGAGCAUUUGUGAUUCUGUCUCAACGUGUUUCUCUAAGCAGAUGAUCUCAGGCCUCACGUGGGGCCAAUGAAAUUUCAUGAUCAGAAAUGGGGUGACAGACUUCUUAAGACCCUUAACCUUUAAAAGAGAUUUUAAAUUAUGAUAAUUAAGACAGCAUCAAAUAUAAUGUACAGUCUUGCGACUAUUUUGUUCUGUUUUACGAAAGAAACAACUAAACAAACAAAACCACUUCUUGUUGUCAAGGUCCUUCGACUGCUUGCAAUCCAGGAGGGGGAAAGUUUAUAAAAUAAGGCAGCUAAAAUAACACCGCAUGAGAGUCUGUAAUCAGAUUCACAUGGUCCCUGUUGCAGACAUUUAGAGAAGUACAUAACUAUUCUGUGGAGAAGUUAUCAGGAAAAGCCUUACUAAAAAUUGAUAUUGGUAUUGAGUCUUGAAAGUCGUAGCACUGAUGCGAUGCAAGGUCAAGAUUCCCAAGUUGGAGUUCAUGGAUAAGUGCAGAAUGAGCAUGCUUGGUGUGCACUGAGAAGAGAAGGAAACAUUAAGGGGAGCUCUUUGGCUAAAGCCAAAGAUACAGAUUCAGGAAGCGUGUCUAAUGGGGUUUUAUGUAGUUGGAAUGGCAAGGUGAAGUCAGAUAAUGGAAAAUCUCAAAUGCUGGGCUGAGGAGUUCGGACUUGAUUAGAAAGGCCACAACGAAACAGUAUAAUUUUUUCAGCAAGUACAUGGCAUGAUAUUAGAGGUUUUAUAAAGAUUAACUUAGCUUUGGUAUAUCAGAGAGUUUAUUGUAGGGUUUAGUAUAGCAAAAAAAGUUUAUUACUGAAAAUUGGAUGGAAAGUGCAAUUCCAUAUGAAGAAAUGACAAGGUAGGGAUAAACACGAGAGACCAACAAAAGAAAGAGAUGCCAGAAUUUGAUAAUUGAUUAUUGGGCGUAGAGUAGAGAAAAGAGUAGAAGAGGAGUCUAAGGUUUAAGUUUUUGAGUACUUUGGAAAAUAUGGUGGGGGAGAAUGGAGCUGCACAUAAAGAAAGCUUAUUCAGAUGGGAAUGUGCCUUAAUCUGAUUUUUAGAUAUCUGGGUUUAAAGCAGAAUGUUCUGGUAGAAAUGUCCUGUUGGCAUUUUAUUUCCUGGAAAUCAAUACUGAACUCAAGCUUGACUGAAAAAUUAGUAUCGAAGAUACAAAAUUUAUGUUAAGGUAGAGAUGAGAAUUUAAGCUUUGGAUAGAAGGGGAUACAUUCCUAAGAAUAGGAAGACAGAGAGAAAAUGGCUGAAGAUGGAAAUGGAGCCCUAUUAACAGCCCACUUGAGUUACGCUUAGAGAUACCAUUACAUCUGAAUAGUCUUUGGAGGUUACAGGUGACUUCAGCAAAAGACAUAGCCUAUUUUGUUAGUUUAACACUACAGGGCAGAAUUGGCUCAUUCCUCCUUUGGGGAAUAUGGGGGGAAGACAGGUGGCACAUCACUAUUUACUCCUUCUCACCACCUCAUCGUCAUUCUCUGUUCUCUGCACAGUUGGAUCUGGAAUGAGUUCUCCUUGUAGUCACAUGUCAGGAAUUGAGAUCCUUCUGUCUUGGGGUAGCAUGUGACUUCAGUGGACAAACUCACCAUCUUUUGUUUUUUGCUUUUUUUAAAAAAAUCUGAUGACUAAAGAUUAGCACCCAUGCUUCUGCUUCACAGAGACCUAGUGAGGACGAAUGAGAAAAACUCAGGAGGCCCAGGGGAUGCCUAUCUAUGGAUAGUUCACAGUACACUUAGGCAGCUUACUGUCUUAGUUCCAGUAAAAACAGCCUGUUGGGGAAAGGUUAAAGUCUAUGGAAUCUGGUUUUAAUACAGCAUGACUCGAUGUUGCAAAGGAAUAUGAUUUUGAAAGCAUCUCUAAGACCCAGAUGUUUUAUGAAUAUGGUGAUGAUAAUAAAGCCAAUAAUUAUAAAUAAAAAUUUUAUGUUGAAAAUGUGUCUCCCUGAUGAUACAACUGUUCCUAUGCUAUCCCUCUAAAUUUUAAUUAGAACAUGCUGCUUCUUUAAAUUGGAUAGAGCCAGUAGUCUGCUAAGACAACAUACAUCGAAACUGUCUUCAUUUCAUACUUUCUUGGUUACAACAACUGUGUCAUUGGCUUUCUUCUCUUCUUGUUCUGAAUGAGACUGAUUUUCAAGAGAGAAAUUUCCCAGGUAGCUCUUGGACCCAGAGAGAAACUGGCAACUGAUAAGACUCCUGUUGCAACUUCCGUUGUGAUUUCAGUACAACCCUUUGAGAAAGGUUUUUGCAUAUGUGAGAAUACAGUGACCCACAGGGAAAUUUCAAAAAAAAUUAAAGCACUCUGAUUUAACAAAGCCUUUUCAAUCCUGUAAUCAGUGGCUAUUUAAAAAGAACAAGUGCACAAUUUAGAUUGUCACUCAAGGACUAAAAUACCACAGAGGUGAUUUUAGAUCUGCAACAUCUCUCCAUAAAUUAUAUGUAUAACUUCAAAAAAUCUGAUGCAGAAUGUUCUUUGUUUUAUUUCUGUAGAGCAAGAACUUAAUAAAUUAAGAAUUACAGUAGUUAAUAAGGUAUGAAAAAACAGCAUAAAGAAAAAUAUCUAUGUUUCGGCUUUUUCAUUCAAAUAUUCUCUAUUGACAAAAAUACCUUUGGUUAAGAAGGCAGCAGGAAGGGAAAGUAGAGAGACUCUGAGCUUGAAAGUUAGUUCUAUAUUCCCACUUGGCCACUUUCUGGCUUUUUUGGCCCUGAAUACAAUAUUUAAUCUUAUUUUGAUUCUUUUUACUUCUUGAUCUGUAAAACGAGGAAUAAAAAUGACUACUAAACAAGAUUUGCGCAGACUACUAAAUGUGCUUGGUAUAUAGUAGGUGCGUAAAAAGGAAGUUAUUCCUUUGCUUGGAUAUAUGAAAGUUCAUAAGAUACUGUUGUGAUUUUUUUAUCUUAAUAACUUCCUAUUGUAGAAGCUCAGCUAGUGAAACCAUACAAGGAUAAACGAGCUAAAUAACAAAUCAAUGUUUGUUUUGUUUGAAUAGCUGUAGCGUCACACAGCAAAUACAUUUUUAGGGAUUUUUGGUGAGCUGAUCUCUAAAAAAGAAAAUGGAGAAAUACGAACUGCUUAAAGGUCUCACUGUAUGUGGCUACUGAGUUUCCAAGCUGGAUGCUGAGUUAUCUAAGUUAUCAUAGGAAACAUUCUGACAUUCAGGAUUUUUGUAAGAGCCACACAAACCCUUGGUCAACUUAGAGGUGGAUACGUGACCAUACUGAACACACUUAACAGUUUUCUUACCUCUCAUCCUCUCAAACUAACUGCAGUUUCUGCUCAGAAAAGAAUAUUUCUCUUCGCAACUCUUCCUUUCUGUCAUUAUUUAGGUCCGGAUGCUUUGUUACAAAUGAACUAAUUGAUCUUUACCUCUUUGGACCUAAAUUGCCUCCGUGGUAUUAGAUCAGUGGCUCUCAAAUGCUAGUCCUGGGACUCAGACUUCUUUAGGCUCACCUAGCAUCUAUGUCCAGAAUACACAUUCCUGAACUUCACCUCAGACUUCCGAAUCUCUGAGGGUGAGAUCAGGAGUCAGUAGUUAACAAGCUCCGCAGUGAUUCUAUGUGUAGCUGGAUUUAGCAACUAGUACAGUUCUUCCCUGUCUUUCCUACUUGCUGAUUCUAAGUCCAUCCAACUCUUGACUUUCCAACCAGGCUUUUCAGUAUGAUGGCUGCGUUUAGUCUUUGCUCCUCUGAGGAGGAUGGGAGGCUUGAGAGACCUCUUCCAGGCGUUGUUCAAGACAGUCUGGGCCCCAGGAGACCAUUUUGCGAAUCAAGCUGGCGCUGAAUUCUCUCUUUGGGUGGCCUCCAACUUUUUCAUAUAUCAAUUUUUCCUCAGUUCUUGAGAGACAAAUUAGCUUUAAAGAAUUAUGGCCUGAGGUUUUCCUGAAUACGUAAGUAUUGACAGUGUAUGGAAGUCUUCACGCUGAUUGCAUCAGUUCUGUUAAUGAGACAGGAACGUUACUCGAUUUAACCCUUGUUCCAGUUAUAUAUACUCGUGAAAAACUGCUUUUCAAUUGCCUUUGGUUGGAAAUGAAAGUGUUUAUUUGGGGAACAGCUUCUGCUUUAUGAACCUUUAAUAUGCUAUGGUAUUAAUUUUUUCAGUUCUCAACAUGAAAGGAACACGGAUACAUUGUAGACUAUUGAGAAAGUAUAGAAAAUUAUAAAGAGAAAGACUGAAAUUACCUAUAAUCCUACCAUUCAGAAACAAUACUUAAGACUUUGAUGCGAUUUUUCCACUUGUAUAUGCACACAAAUGUAUGCAAAAAUAAAUACUUGGGACAUUUGACAAAUAUGUAAUUUUAACCCUUCUCUCCCUGAUUAGUUUUCUGUUGAACAUUUCCUCAUAUCAUUUUAUGUUCUUCAAAAACAAACAUAAUUUAAUGGUUAUAUACUACUUCCACAAUAUGAAUAGAUUACAGUUUAUGCAGUCACCUCAUUUUUUAUGUGUAGAGUGUUUCCAACUUACUGUUUU